GUCAGAACCAUAUCUCCCUGCAGCUCUCGCUUUGUUUCCCACUGAAACUAAGCAGGGUUGAGCCUGGUCAGUACCUGGAUGGGAGACCUCCAGGGGAAAACUAAGGUUGCUGCUGGAA
rnacentral:rRNA from 1 species